GAUUAACGCUAGCGGCAGGCCUAAUACAUGCAAGUCGAGGGGCAGCGCGGUAGCAAUACUGGCGGCGACCGGCGCACGGGUGCGUAACACGUAUGCAACCUACCUUCAACUGGAGGAUAGCCCGGGGAAACUCGGAUUAAUACUCCAUAACACAGGGAUCCCGCAUGGGAAUAUUGUUAAAGCUACGGCGGUUGAAGAUGGGCAUGCGUUCGAUUAGCUAGUUGGUGAGGUAACGGCUCACCAAGGCUACGAUCGGUAGCUGGUCUGAGAGGAUGAUCAGCCACAUUGGGACUGAGACACGGCCCAAACUCCUACGGGAGUCAGCAGUGGGGAAUAUUGGACAAUGGGCGCAAGCCUGAUCCAGCCAUGCCGCGUGAGUGAUGAAGGCCUUAGGGUUGUAAAGCUCUUUGUCCGGGAAGAUAAUGACUGUACCGGAAGAAUAAG
rnacentral:rRNA from 1 species